CAGUUCGGAUUGUAGUCUGCAACCCGACUACAUGAAGCUGGAAUCGCUAGUAAUCGCGGAUCAGAAUGCCGCGGUGAAUACGUUCCCGGGUCUUGUACACACCGCCCGUCACACCAUGGGAGUCGGAAAUGCCCGAAGUCUGUGACCCAACCUUAGGGAGGGAGCAGCCGAAGGCAGGUCGGAUGACUGGGGUGAAGUCGUAACAAGGUAUC
rnacentral:rRNA from 1 species